GAUGAAGAACGUAGCAAAAUGCGAUAAGUAAUGUGAAUUGCAGAAUUCAGUGAAUCAUCGAAUCUUUGAACGCACAUUGCGCCCGCCAGUAUUCUGGCGGGCAUGCCUGUUCGAGCGUCAUUUCAACCCUCAAGCACAGCUUGGUGUUGGGACUCGCGUUAAUUCGCGUUCCUCAAAUUGAUUGGCGGUCACGUCGAGCUUCCAUAGUGUAGUAGUAAAACCCUCGUUACUGGUAAUCGUCGCGGCCACGCCGUUAAACCCCAACUUCUGAAUGUUGACCUCGGAUCAGGUAGGAAUACCCGCUGAACUUAAGCAUAUCAAUAAGCGGAGGA
rnacentral:misc_RNA from 1 species